AGUUUAAUAAUCAUAAAUGAAUUUAAAUUGCAAAUUUAAAAGUAGAGAAAUCUUUAAACUU
rnacentral:tRNA from 1 species